AUUGAACGCUGGCGGCAUGCCUUACACAUGCAAGUCGAACGGCAGCACGGGAGCAAUCCUGGUGGCGAGUGGCGAACGGGUGAGUAAUAUAUCGGAACGUGUCCAGUCGUGGGGGAUAACGUAGCGAAAGCUACGCUAAUACCGCAUACGACCUAUGGAUGAAAGCGGGGGAUCGCAAGACCUCGCGCGAUUGGAGCGGCCGAUAUCAGAUUAGGUAGUUGGUGAGGUAAAGGCUCACCAAGCCAACGAUCUGUAGCUGGUCUGAGAGGACGACCAGCCACACUGGAACUGAGACACGGUCCAGACUCCUACGGGAGGCAGCAGUGGGAAUUUUGGACAAUGGACGCAAGUCUGAUCCAGCCAUUCCGCGUGCAGGAUGAAGGCCCGUACGGGUCGUAAACUGCUUUUGUACGGAACGAAAAGGUUUCUCUUAAUACGUAGGAGCUCAUGACGGUACCGUAAGAAUAAG
rnacentral:rRNA from 1 species